rnacentral:misc_RNA from 1 species
CAGAUUUGAAGAUCAACAGAACCCAAAGACAGCCAUCUUCUCCAGCUUCAGGCAGUUAACUCCGGCCCCAAGAACAAGGAAACAACAAGAGACCAUAGAAAAGAAUAGCCAAGGAAGGAGAUGGUGGAGCUCUUCGGCAACUUACUCGCGCCAUAUGGGCCAUAUCGAGAUUCCAACGAGACACCUUCUUCAUCCAAGUUUCUUCCUCUCGCCAAGCCCUCACCAUUGCGAAAUCAGCUGCAACUAAACAAAACCAUAUUUACAUUCCCAAUUCAGUGGAAGAGAGGGCAGGAGAAGAGAGGUCUUUCCCUGUCAGGAUGAGUAGGAGAUAACUAACACAGAGGAGAAGGCCUUAAGCCUUAGAUACAGGGAAACGGGAGACAUCUGCAAAACAGAGACGAAAG